UACGAAGGGGGCGAGCGUUGUUCGGAUUUACUGGGCGUAAAGGGCUCGUAGGCGGCCAACUAAGUCAGACGUGAAAUCCCUCGGCUUAACCGGGGAACUGCGUCUGAUACUGGAUGGCUUGAAUCCGGGAGAGGGAUGCGGAAUUCCAGGUGUAGCGGUGAAAUGCGUAGAUAUCGGGAGGAACACCAGUGGCGAAGGCGGCGACCUGGGCCAAGAUUGACGCUGAGGUGCGAAAGCGUGGGGAGCAAACAGG
rnacentral:rRNA from 1 species